rnacentral:rRNA from 1 species
AGAGUUUGAUCCUGGCUCAGGAUGAACCCUUGCGGCGUGCCUAACACAUGCAAGUCGAGCGAAGCACUUUGCUUUGAUUCUUUCGGGAGGAGAAGUGAUUUGACUGAGCGGCGGACGGGUGAGUAACGCGUGGGUAACCUGCCUCAUACAGGGGGAUAACAGUUAGAAAUGACUGCUAAUACCGCAUAAGCGCACAGGACCGCAUGGUCCGGUGUGAAAAACUCCGGUGGUAUGAGAUGGACCCGCGUCUGAUUAGUUAGUUGGCGGGGUAACGGCCCACCAAGGCGACGAUCAGUAGCCGGCCUGAGAGGGUGAACGGCCACAUUGGGACUGAGACACGGCCCAAACUCCUACGGGAGGCAGCAGUGGGGAAUAUUGCACAAUGGGGGGAACCCUGAUGCAGCGACGCCGCGUGAGCGAUGAAGUAUUUCGGUAUGUAAAGCUCUAUCAGCAGGGAAGAAAAUGACGGUACCUGACUAAGAAGCCCCGGCUAACUACGUGCCAGCAGCCGCGGUAAUACGUAGGGGGCAAGCGUUAUCCGGAUUUACUGGGUGUAAAGGGAGCGUAGACGGCUGUGCAAGUCUGGAGUGAAAGGCAUGGGCUCAACCUGUGGACUGCUUUGGAAACUGUGCGGCUUGAGUGUCGGAGAGGCAAGUGGAAUUCCUAGUGUAGCGGUGAAAUGCGUAGAUAUUAGGAGGAACACCAGUGGCGAAGGCGGCUUGCUGGACGAUGACUGACGUUGAGGCUCGAAAGCGUGGGGAGCAAACAAGAUUAGAUACCCUGGUAGUCCACGCCGUAAACG